rnacentral:rRNA from 1 species
GUGAGGAAUAUUGCGCAAUGGAGGCAACUCUGACGCAGCCAUGCCGCGUGCAGGAAGAAGGCGCUACGCGUUGUAAACUGCUUUUGUACGGAACGAAAAGGCUCUGGCUAAUACCUGGAGCUCAUGACGGUACCGUAAGAAUAAGCACCGGCUAACUACGUGCCAGCAGCCGCGGUAAUACGUAGGGUGCGAGCGUUAAUCGGAAUUACUGGGCGUAAAGCGUGCGCAGGCGGUGCUGUAAGACAGGCGUGAAAUCCCCGGGCUCAACCUGGGAAUUGCGCUUGUGACUGCAGCGCUGGAGUGCGGCAGAGGGGGAUGGAAUUCCGCGUGUAGCAGUGAAAUGCGUAGAUAUGCGGAGGAACACCGAUGGCGAAGGCAAUCCCCUGGGCCUGCACUGACGCUCAUGCACGAAAGCGUGGGGAGCAAACAGGAUUAGAUACCCUAGUAGUCC